rnacentral:tRNA from 1 species
GCGGCCAUAGCUCAGUGGUAGAGCCCCCGCUUCGCGUGCGGGGAGACCCGCACGUACGGGAAGGGUUCGAUUCCCGGCUGCU